GGGAUGUACGUGGAGAUGUCGCGUCGGUUCGU
rnacentral:sRNA from 1 species